CUACUAUCGCAAAGUUUCAGGAUCACCACCGUCCACUGCAACACGAUUUCUCUCAGAAGCUGGCACAAGUUGAUAAUCCAAACUUAAAAUGGUGAUACUCGAUGUCUUAAUAAUAGGGGGUGGCCCUCAUGCCUUGACCCUUGCCACCUUGCUAUCCCACCCUGACCCUGAUACAAAAUCAGACCCUGGACAUGUCUCACCCCUCUCCAUCUCCCUCUCGGACCCUGAGAGGGCUCAGACAAACUCAGAGACAUCCAACAACAAACGCUGCAGAGGCAAGAAGAAGAAGAAGAAGAGGUCAACAGCAGGCCUGACAUUUGAGGAGUGCCUAGCAAAGUCAACACCAGGGAGGGCCGAAUGCCCCCCGCUGAGUCUCAGAGUGGUAGAUUCCUAUGGGGAGUGGACCACUCUGUGGGAGAGCCAAUUCACAACUCUGAACAUCGCUCACCUGCGCUCACACACACUGGUGCACACAGACCCUCUCAAUAAGAAAGCACUGCAGGAGUUUGUUUUAAAGUUGGACCGUUCAGCAGAGCUUCACAGUCUUCCAGACCAAGUUUAUAUUCUGGAUGAAAAUGCAUUUUUUAAUGAUAUGAGGCUCGGCAAGAAGGAGAGGAAACGUCUCAACAUCGCCUCAACACUCAAAAAGAGUUUGUCCUUCAGUCUGCCAGGAACCAAACUAAGUGUGGAUUUCUUUAAAGAUCAGGUGGAAAGAUACAACUUGGACAAAGUGCUGGUGAAAGGAACAGUGGAGUACAUCAGCCCUCUGCUGGAUGACGAGGAAAAGGGGGAAGAAGAGACCGAGUGGAUGAAACAGGGUGAUGACAUAAGAGUGACCGAGAGGAAAAAAGUAAAAUAUUUUGUAGUCAAACUUCAAGAAGGCAUCAAACUUAAAGCCCGCCAGGUCGUUAUGGCUACAGGUCCAACCCGCGCCCAGAUGGCAAACAUCCCUUCAUGGGUGAAAAACAUCGGAGAGAGCUACCCAGAGGAGCGUCUGCAACACACUGUGCACCUGAUGCACCACCUGUCAUCUGCUAAGCAAAAACUUAAAGAUGAUGAGAGACAGAAUGAGGCUUUUCACUCUCAAGAAUUGUGUGUAGUGUGUGAGGCAGGGCAGAGAGUAAUGGUAGUUGGUGGAGGUCUGACCAGCGCUCAUGUCGUCUCAAUUGCCCUGCAGCAAGGUGCCAGCCAUGUGACAUGGGUUAUGAGGAAGCACCUCCAGUUGAAGCAGUUUGAUGUGGGCGAUGUGGAGAGCUUGGUGGGCCGUUACUCCCACGUGGAGCACGGCAUCAAGAUGGACGGCCAGGCGUACCUGAGGCAGUUCUAUAAUGAACGCAGUCUCCACAAACGGCUGGCUAUGAUUCUCCGGGCAAGAAAAGGAGGGGCCGUUACCCCCGAGGCCUAUAUCCACCUACAGCCGUUCAUCCUGAGUGGACAGGUGGACGUGAAGACUUACUGUCAGGUGAGUGAAGCCAGCUGGUGCUACAGGAGCCAGGCGUGGUGUCUGUCCCUCAGCACCGGGGCCCACUGGUCUGGAGAUAUGAUCUGGCUAGCCACCGGCUGCAAACUUGAUGUCAAACAGGACCCGCUGCUUUCUGAGGUGAUGAAGGAAUUCCCCGUUCAGAAUAUUUAACAUCCAGGUGCUCUUUUGCAAACUUCAAACGUGCAGCAAUGUUUUUUCUGGACAGCAGUGGCUUCCUCCAUUUUAUGACCAACUUAUGCAGAAAUUCAGGUGAUAGACGGUUGGCCGUGCAUAUCAGAAAGCUUAAAGUGGACUGAAGGCUGCCCGCUCUACCUGAUGGGGCAGUACACUGCUCUUCAGGUUGGACCACAUGCAGUAAACCUUGCCGGUGGUCAGGCUGCAAGCAUUCGAAUCGCCAAAGACAUCAUGCGGGGUCAGAAAGAGCACCAUGCUGAUGCUUCUGAACUGAGUGGGGAGAAAUCAAAAACUGAAGAAUAUAUCCAACAGAUGCAGGGCCUAUUAUGGCUUUAGUGUUAGACCAAAGAAUAUUAAAACAAUUCUUUAAUGAUGCUGUAAAACUGACUUUGUUUUUGGGAACUAUCACACCAUUCAAAUAAACACAUGUUCAUCUUUAA